rnacentral:rRNA from 1 species
AUUGAACGCUGGCGGCAGGCCUAACACAUGCAAGUCGAGCGGAUGAAGGGAGCUUGCUCCUGGAUUCAGCGGCGGACGGGGGAGUAAUGCCUAGGAAUCUGCCUGGUAGUGGGGGAUAACGUCCGGAAAUGGGCGCUAAUACCGCAUACGUCCUGCGGGAGAAAGUGGGGGAUCUUCGGACCUCACGCUAUCAGAUUAGCCUAGGUCGGAUUAGCUAGUUGGUGGGGUAAAGGCCUACCAAGGCGACGAUCCGUAACUGGUCUGAGAGGAUGAUCAGUCACACUGGAACUGAGACACGGUCCAGACUCCUACGGGAGGCAGCAGUGGGGAAUAUUGGACAAUGGGCGAAAGCCUGAUCCAGCCAUGCCGCGUGUGUGAAGAAGGUCUUCGGAUUGUAAAGCACUUUAAGUUGGGAGGAAGGGCAGUAAGUUAAUACCUUGCUGUUUUGACGUUACCAACAGAAUAAGCACCGGCUAACUUCGUG